rnacentral:rRNA from 1 species
UGGGGAAUAUUGCACAAUGGGCGAAAGCCUGAUGCAGCGACGCCGCGUGAGGGAUGACGGCCUUCGGGUUGUAAACCUCUUUCAGUAGGGACGAAGCGCAAGUGACGGUACCUACAGAAGAAGCACCGGCCAACUACGUGCCAGCAGCCGCGGUAAUACGUAGGGUGCGAGCGUUGUCCGGAUUUACUGGGCGUAAAGAGCUCGUAGGCGGUUUGUCGCGUCGUCUGUGAAAACCCGAGGCUUAACUUCGGGCCUGCAGGCGAUACGGGCAGACUUGAGUACUGUAGGGGAGACUGGAAUUCCUGGUGUAGCGGUGGAAUGCGCAGAUAUCAGGAGGAACACCGGUGGCGAAGGCGGGUCUCUGGGCAGUAACUGACGCUGAGGAGCGAAAGCGUGGGUAGCGAACA